rnacentral:sRNA from 10 species
CGGAGACCGAUAAGUGAACAACUGCAGACGGGAACUUAAGAGAAACCGGAAGGAGAGCCCUCAGGGUGAAAGCGUUUUAAAGAGUAUACGAUAAAAAAUAGCUUUAAAACCCACCAAGGAUGAAGAGAUAGCAUCCAAGGAGCUAAAGAGAAUCUCACUUUAGACACCUGGGGAACUCGAACUAAGAGA